GUGCAGUACUGUCGGCCAUGUGAGGCCGGUUGGUUCUGCAGCCGAGCCGGUCUCUCGAAGCCUCAGGGUCUCUGUAACUCAGGACACUACUGCACCUCAGGAGCGUCCACUGCCUCUCCGGUUGCCAUGGCCUCUGCUGCUGUAUGUCCAGCAGGUUUUGUCUGUCCGCAAGGCACCAGGUACCCCCAGCAGCACCCCUGCCCUGUAGGAACCUGGAGCAGCACUGUGGGAGCCCAAAACCUUUCCUCCUGCUGGCUCUGCCCUCCAGGAUCCUACUGCAACCGGACUGGACUCAGCCGGCCCUCAGGAGCCUGCAAUGCCGGUUAUUACUGUUCAGGAGGGGCUGUGUCGUCAGUACCUUCAGACGGCGUGACAGGGGACAUUUGUCCAGUUGGACACUUUUGUCCCG
ensembl:lncRNA